CUGGGCGUAAAGCGUGCGCAGGCGGAUUGUUAAGCAAGACGUGAAAGCCCCGGGCUUAACCUGGGAAUGGCGUUUUGAACUGGCAGUCUAGAGUGCGUCUGAGGGGGGUGGAAUUCCACGUGUAGCAGUGAAAUGCGUAGAGAUGUGGAGGAACACCAAUGGCGAAGGCAGCCCCCUGGGAUGACACUGACGCUCAUGUACGAAAGCGUGGGUAGCAAACAGGAUUAGAUACCCUGGUAGUCCACGCCCUAAACGAUGUCAACUGGUUGUUGGGGGAGCGAAAUCCCUUAGUAGCGAAGCUAACGCGUGAAGUUGACCGCCUGGGGAGUACGGUCGCAAGAUUAAAACUCAAAGGAAUUGACGGGGACCCGCACAAGCGGUGGAUGAUGUGGAUUAAUUCGAUGCAACGCGAAAAACCUUACCUACCCUUGACAUGUCCAGGAUCCUGCAGAGAUGCGGGAGUGCCCGAAAGGGAAUUGGAACACAGGUGCUGCAUGGCUGUCGUCAGCUCGUGUCGUGAGAUGUUGGGUUAAGUCCCGCAACGAGCGCAACCCUUAUCAUUAGUUGCUACGCAAGGGCACUCUAAUGAGACUGCCGGUGACAAACCGGAGGAAGGUGGGGAUGACGUCAAGUCCUCAUGGCCCUUAUGGGUAGGGCUUCACACGUCAUACAAUGGUCGGUACAGAGGGUUGCCAAGCCGCGAGGUGGAGCCAAUCCCAGAAAGCCGAUCGUAGUCCGGAUUGUUCUCUGCAACUCGAGAGCAUGAAGUCGGAAUCGCUAGUAAUCGCGGAUCAGCAUGUCGCGGUGAAUAC
rnacentral:rRNA from 1 species